rnacentral:miRNA from 1 species
AGGACCUGCGGGACAAGAUUCU